UACGUAGGGGGCAAGCGUUGUCCGGAAUCAUUGGGCGUAAAGAGCGUGUAGGCGGCCCGAUAAGUCCGCCGUGAAAGUCCAGGGCUCAACCCUGGAAUGCCGGUGGAAACUGUCGGGCUGGAGUCCGGAAGAGGCGAGUGGAAUUCCCGGUGUAGUGGUGAAAUGCGUAGAGAUCGGGAGGAACACCCGUGGCGAAGGCGGCUCACUGGGCUGACCUUGACGCUGAGGCGCGAAGGCGUGGGGAGCGAACGGG
rnacentral:rRNA from 1 species